UAAACUCAUGAGAGAGUGAUUUAUAAAUCAGAAUACCAAUUUAUGAUAAGGGGUUAUGCUAAUUCUGCUGGGCAAAUGUUUCUGGUUCUUCCCACUUCUGGUCACAUGUUCAGAUUAUCCUCCCCACGUCCUCCCCUCCUUUGUGGUUGGGGGAAGCCAUGUGACUGGUUCUAGACAUGAGUUAUGAAUAGAAAUGAUAUGUGUCACUUAAGCUGUGAUCAACUGGCCCAGUUUGUCUGAGGCUGAGGGGUUUCCCAGGAUGUAGAACUUACAGUGUUAAACCAGGACAGUCUGUGGCAAAACAGGCCAGUUGUCACUUGAGCUGGAGCAUUUAAUUGCUCGUUCAAGACCCUCCACAUUUCUCUCUUUUUCCUUCUGGCAGAGACUGGCAACGUUUAGGUAGUGGGUACUCCAUCUUUCCAGAUCCUUGGAUCACACAAUGAGCAUAAUCCACCUGUGAACCCACGAUGGGCAUGUAAGCCAUAUCAAUAAAUAAAGCUUUAUUCUUAUAUAGCACUUAGAUUGGGGAGUUUUUGUUAUUGCAGCAAAACCUAGCUUAUCCUAACUGAUACAUGAAUACAAAUAACACCUGAGUUCAUACAUGUUGGUGAAUAAGUGCUGCUCUUUUUUCUUUUAAUAGGAAAAUCUGCUAAGGAUAUCAAAGACUAUCAUGAGGUCGCUUAGUGAAAUCAGAAGCAGAGCUAACGAAGUUGGAGAAUUCUAAGAUGUUUUCAUUAAUCUGUGCCACAUUUAUCACUCAUUCUCUUCUCUAAAGAGGAAUUCCAAAUUCUGUGACCUUGAGGCCUUGAGCACAGUGAGAAUGGCUGAGAACUCGCGAGUCCUCCGAAGCUGCUGCUCGGUCCUUGAGCAGCUGGGACGCUUUCUUCUUGUCUGAGAGAGACGGCAGCCUGUGAGGUGGGGUACCCGGGUGGGGAGCAGGAUGGAAUUGGAUGGAGCCAAGAAAUCAGCCGUUAUUUUUGUGGCUCCCGAGAAGUCAAGGGCUCUAGAACCCAAAGAGACAGAAUGCAAGAGUUUGGAUCCCUGGCAACUUUGAGCAACGUUUACUCACCCACGAGGUGCCUUAAUCUCCCAGAAAUCAGAAUGUUACGACUUUGCUGCACAGACAGUGUGGAAGGCAGGAAUGGACAUGACA
rnacentral:lncRNA from 1 species